rnacentral:rRNA from 1 species
GGGAUGACUUGUGGGUAGCGGUGAAAUUCCAAUCGAGCCCGGAGAUAGCUGGUUCUCCCCGAAAUAGCUUUAGGGCUAGCCUCAAGGUGAGAGAUACGGAGGUAGAGCACUGAAUGUCCUAGGGGGUAUUGCACCUACCGAAGACUAUCAAACUCCGAAUGCCGUCAUCUUAUACUUGGGAGUCAGACUGUGGGUGAUAAGAUUCAUAGUCGAAAGGGCAACAGCCCAGAUCGUCAGCUAAGGUCCCUAAAUGUAAGUUAAGUGGUAAAGGAUGUGGGAUUGCACAGACAACCAGGAUGUUGGCUUAGAAGCAGCCACUCAUUCAAAGAGUGCGUAAUAGCUCACUGGUCGAGUGAUCCUGCGCCGAAGAUUUCCGGGGCUAAAACUUACUACCGAAGCUACGGCAUCAGUAAUGAUGGGUAGGGGAGCUUCCCAUACGGGUUGAAGCAUGACCGUAAGGACAUGUGGACAGUAUGGGAGUGAGAAUGUUGGCAUGAGUAGCGAGAUGUGGGUGAGAAUCCCACAGGCCGUAAACCCAAGGUUUCCAGGGAAGGUUCGUCCGCCCUGGGUUAGUCGGGACCUAAGCUGAGGCCGAAAGGCGUAGGUGAUGGACAACAGGUUGAUAUUCCUGUACUACCGAUAACCGUUUGAGAAGGGAUGACACAGUAGGAUAAGCUAAGCACACUGUUGGUUAUGUGUGCCCAAGCAUUGAGGCAGUCAAAGUAGGCAAAUCCGCUUUGAUAAUGCUGGGAUGUGAUGGGGAGCGAAAUUUAGUAGCGAAGUAGCUGAUUUCACACUGUCAAGAAAAGUCUCUAUCGAGGUUAAAGGUACCCGUACCGCAAACCGACACAGGUGGGUGAGGAGAGUAUCCUAAGGCCAGCGAGAGAACUGUUGUUAAGGAACUCGGCAAAAUGACCCCGUAACUUAGGGAUAAGGGGUGCCACCAUCAGGUGGCCGCAGAGAAUAGGCCCAAGCGACUGUUUACCAAAAACAUAGGUUUCUGCUAAGUCGCAAGACGAUGUAUAGGAGCUGACGCCUGCCCGGUGCUGGAAGGUUAAGGGGAUCUGUUAGAGCAAUCGAAGCAGUGAACUUAAGCCCCAGUAAACGGCGGCCGUAACUAUAACGGUCCUAAGGUAGCGAAAAUUCCUUGUCGGGUAAGUUCCGACCCCGCACGAAAGGCGUAACGAUUUGGGCACUGUCUCAACAACAGACUCGGUGAAAUUGUAAUUCCGGUGAAGAUGCCGGAUACCUGCGACAGGACGGAAAGACCCCAUGGAGCUUUACUGUAGCUUGACAUUGGUCUUGGUACUACAUGUACAGGAUAGGUGGGAGGCUUUGAAACCAGGACGCCAGUUUUGGCGGAGCCAUCCUUGGGAUACCACCCUUGUAGUACUGGGACUCUAACCAUAGGCCAUGAAUCUGGUUUGGGACACUGUCAGGUGGGCAGUUUGACUGGGGCGGUCGCCUCCCAAAAGGUAACGGAGGCGCUCAAAGGUUCUCUCAGUACGGUCGGAAAUCGUACGUAGAGUGUAAAGGCAAAAGAGAGCUUGAUUGCAAGACAUACAGGUCGAGCAAGGAUGAAAAUCGGACUUAGUGAUCCGGUGGUUCUGCGUGGAAGGGCCAUCGCUCAACGGAUAAAAGCUACCCUGGGGAUAACAGGCUUAUCUCCCCCAAGAGUCCACAUCGACGGGGAGGUUUGGCACCUCGAUGUCGGCUCAUCACAUCCUGGGGCUGUAGUAGGUCCCAAGGGUUGGGCUGUUCGCCCAUUAAAGUGGUACGCGAGCUGGGUUCAGAACGUCGUGAGACAGUUCGGUCCCUAUCCGUCGCAGGCGUAGGAAAUUUGAGAAGACCUGUCCUUAGUACGAGAGGACCGGGAUGGACGUACCUCUGGUGUACCAGUUGUCCUGCCAAGGGCAUGGCUGGGUAGCUAUGUACGGAAUGGAUAAGCGCUGAAAGCAUCUAAGCGCGAAGCCAACUUCAAGAUAAGAUUUCCCACCGCAAGGGUAAGACCCCAGAAAGACUAUCUGGUUGAUAGGUCGAAGGUGUAAGUGCAGCAAUGUAUUUAGCUUAUCGAUACUAAUAGGUCGAGGACUUGACCAAU